UACGUAGGGUGCAAGCGUUGUCCGGAAUUAUUGGGCGUAAAGAGCUCGUAGGCGGUCUGUCGCGUCGGCUGUGAAAACCCGGAGCUCAACUCCGGGCCUGCAGUCGAUACGGGCAAACUGGAGUGUUGCAGGGGAGACUGGAAUUCCUGGUGUAGCGGUGAAAUGCGCAGAUAUCAGGAGGAACACCGGUGGCGAAAGCGGCACGCUGGGCCUCUUCUGACGCUGAGGCGCGAAAGCCAGGGGAGCAAACGGG
rnacentral:rRNA from 1 species